GUCUGUGCUGUCAGAGCUUGGCAGAGAGGCAGCCCAGCAGAUUGCCUCCAAGGCAGCAUGUAAGUCUAUCAGGAGAAGAAACCAGAGGCUGCUUGCCAAAUUUUCCGGACCUCAUUAGAUUCCCAGGACCUUUACACAUCCUGGCAAAGGAGAGAGGAGAUGAGUAAUCUCAGUCACAGAGAUGUUCUCCAAGGUCACACAGAUAAGAAGUGAUGGGAGGAGGAUUCAAACCCUUAGAUCUGGCUCCAGUAAAGAUGGCUGUGACAACUAACAUCUAUUGAGCAAUAACUAUGUAUCAGAGUUUGAGAGGCUGGAAGUCCAAGAUCAAGGUGGAGGCAGAUUUGGUGUCUAGUAAG
ensembl:lncRNA